CGCGGCGGGAAGCGGGUGGCGCGGGCUGCCGGGGGAAGUGAGUGGGGGCGGAGAAUGGCGGGUCAGAGAGGAGGGAGCCAGCAGAUGCCCAAAGGAUGAUAAGAAGCUUACUGUGAAAUGGCUCGCGGAGCCGCAGCUCGAGCCUUGUGAGCCUUGGAAGCCCAUUUUCCGCGCAGUCACUAACUCGCCUAGUCACCCAGUGUAAAAGUUAUUCUCGGAUGACACGUGCCUGGGAAGUCUCACCUUUCCCCCCACCUCCUCCUGUCUGCGUAUUGUUCUGUAGCACCCCGUGCACGCCUUGAUUGUAGCGCUUAAGGCGUCAGUUUUAUUUACUAGAGAGGGAUAAAACUGUAUCCAUUGUGUCCAUUGUGUCCCAACCUCCUAGAACGUGGGUCGUAGUGUAAAGCUUAAUAAAUGUAAUAUAAAUGGGGAAUUAAAUUCAUAAUUGUU